CAACAAGGGGUUGAUGGCUUGCUUGACGGCACGCUUUGCGUUACAGGAAUAGGCCUACCAACCUACGUUCAGUAUCGACUCACUCAACUUGCUAACGUAACGUUACAUCUGGAUCUGGAUGCGGAGCAGCAGAACUACCACACCAGAAGCUCGUAGAUCAGCUCAGAAGGAGAGAGAGAAGAAUGAGUAAUCACAGCCUUGACCAUGAAGCAAGGACCAUGAAGGGAUGGCCAUCGAAAAGAAAUACCUGUAUAGGCAGUUACAGGCUACAGAAAGAAGAUGCGGAGAGUGAUCUCCCAGCAUCCUCAACUGGGUAUAAAUGUUUGUGUAUGUGUGUGCAUGAGUCCACAUGCACAUUUCAGGUCCCUGACAGAUAGAAAGUGUAGGUGCUUCUCUGACACUCUUCUAUUACACCGACAUAGGGAGACACUAAUAGCAUUUACAGCCUAAUGACUGCCUUGAAUUAACGUGUAUACAUGUGUCAUUUAAAGUCCCCCUAAAGAGUAUUUGUAUUUACCUUAAAAUAACGUUUCCAAAAUCAUUUUGAUGGCACAAACUUUUAAUAGGACAAACAUCACUCAGAGUAGGUUUUAUCGCUUGUAAAAUAGCCAUAUGAAGUUGCUGUUUGGGUAGGAACACUGCACUACAUUGGUGCUGCUUUACAGGAAUGUAGUUAUAGGAACAGUCCACUUCUAAAUCAGUUCUACUAACUACUCUCCCCCAAAACCAUUUUUUCAUUUGCAUUCGCACUGUCCAAGUGGCCAUAGGAACUGAUAGGAGGGCGUAAGGAGUGACGCGCUGUCACUUGCUACAGGGUUUAAAAUAGGCAUGCACUCGCCUUGCCAAAUGCGAGUAAAUUAACUAACUAGCCUAUAUUUACAAAUGAUUUGAAUGACCCUCACUGUCUACUGUCGCUUCAAGCAUUCCACGGUCGGGACGAAUGAAACAGGCAUGAUGGACUAAUGAAGCCAGCAGUUUAAUCUAUAAACGUUUAACAUUGUUGCCAUGAAUACAUACCACAAAAUAUACACAGA